UAUGAAAUGAAAUGUUUUGGUUAAGGAUUUUUUAAACAAAUUUCACAUUACACUACUGGCUUUACUAAAUCUGAGUCUUGUAUUUCUGAACAGGGCACCAUGGCCCAGCACUGUCACCUUUUCCAAGGAACCUGCUGGAGCUCCUGUGGAAGCUGCUCCUUGGGCCGAUGAAAUCCCUUAGCUGGUAGGACCUUCUUUAGUCACCACAGGAUGCCUGCCAUUCAUGAACAGGAAGGAGAGGAUGGGCUUUGAAUAAAAAACAGGAUCCGGAAAAUAUUUGUGAGGCCACUUGGACUUCAGUGUGAAAUAAAUAUUUUCUGGCUUUGGGAGGUGUCCCUCUUGGUGGAACACAGUAAGUGUCAAAGAUGGACACAUAGUCCAUUAUUUGUAGUGUAUGGGAGCAGACCACAAAUUAAUGUUUGGAGAACAAUUUUGUCGUAACAGACACUGUUGAGGCUCAGCUGUACAGAACUGGAAAAGUCUUUCAGCUUGGCACAUGUCCUGAUUCAGCCUUUGUUUAACAUAUAUUCCAAUCUGGAUUCUAUCUUCACUGGCUAGAAAGACCACCUGAUAUGUGCACCACAACACAGGAGCUGCUGGAGAGGGGGUAGUAUUAUCACCUCAAACUCACAGCCACUCCAUAUUUUUCAAAAGCCAGCUUAGACAGAGGUGUACUGAUAGCUGCACAGAGAAAAUGCGGUCCAUCCAUUCUUCUCAGUGAUGUACAUUUCUCAAUCAGCAACCACGUGGUUUUAGCAAAAACCACAGAAGUGGUUUUGAUGUACCAGCCUUGAGUGUCACAUCUCCCAACCAUACCAAAUGGGUCACCUAACUGGGGGUGGGGGGUGGCCGUCAUAAACGAGAUUUAG
rnacentral:lncRNA from 1 species